AGCAGAAGCCCGUCCACAAAACCU
rnacentral:siRNA from 1 species